CAAGCGGUGGAGCAUGUGGUUCAAUUCGACGCAACGCGCAGAACCUUACCUGGUCUUGACAUCCUCGGAACCUGCCAGAGAUGGUGGGGUGCCCGCAAGGGAACUGAGAGACAGGUGCUGCAUGGCUGUCGUCAGCUCGUGUCGUGAGAUGUUGGGUUAAGUCCCGCAACGAGCGCAACCCUCGCCUUUAGUUGCCACGCAAGUGGAUCUCUAGAGGGACUGCCGGUGUUAAACCGGAGGAAGGUGGGGAUGACGUCAAGUCCUCAUGGCCUUUAUGACCAGGGCUACACACGUGCUACAAUGGCCGGUACAAAGCGCUGCCAACCCGCGAGGGGGAGCCAAUCGCAUAAAACCGGUCUCAGUUCAGAUUGGAGUCUGCAACUCGACUUCAUGAAGGCGGAAUCGCUAGUAAUCGUAGAUCAGCACGCUACGGUGAAUACGUUCCCGGGCCUUGUACACACC
rnacentral:rRNA from 1 species